UAUAUUUUGAUGAGAAUGGAGAGCCGGCUGUUGACUUGGACAUUGUGAACUGGAUGGUUUACACCAACAAUUCCGUCACCAGGAUGAAAUCCGGGCAUCUAGAAAGGCAGGGAAUCCAGGGUUCCAAACUGGUGAUCCACCAGAACAAGAUUGCUCAGAUGGAAAAGAUGAACAAGCCGCUGCCUCCUUCAAGGUGUGUGGAAAGUUGCCAUCCCGGAUUCAGGAAGGUAGCUCAGGAAGGGAGGCCCAUCUGCUGCUAUGACUGCAUUCCUUGUGCAGAAGGAACCAUCUCCACCCAGGAAGGUGGGUGACAUUGGGGACGUCAGAUAGGCAGAUGUUCUUUAAUAUAAUUUUAAAGGUAUCACUGCAAGAUGUAAGCUGUUUCAAGUAAAGCUGCCAUUUGCAAUUGA